rnacentral:rRNA from 1 species
CCCUUAGAUGUUCUGGGCCGCACGCGCGCUACACUGAUGCAUUCAACGAGUCUAAAACCUGCUCUGAUAGGGGUGGGUAAUCUUUUGAAUGUGCAUCGUGAUUGGGAUAGAUGAUUGCAAUUUUUCAUCUUCAACGAGGAAUGCCUAGUAAACGCAAGUCAUCAGCUUGCAUUGAUUACGUCCCUGCCCUUUGUACACACCGCCCGUCGCUCCUACCGAUUGAAUGAUCCGAUGAAUAUCAUGGAUUGAGGAUGCAAGCAGGUUCGCCUGUCUUCAUCUUCGAGAAGUGAAGUAAAGCUUAUCAUUUAGAGGAAGGAGAAGUCGUAACA